rnacentral:siRNA from 1 species
UGUAUUUAGGUGUGAUUAGC